rnacentral:lncRNA from 1 species
GAGUUCAAGGCCAUGGCAAUCUCCGGUUGAGAGUUGGUGAAUUUAUAGUCCUCGUUGCAACUUGUGUCUAUACAUAGAGUGUCUCUAUGUAUAUGCUGUAUUCUGCAGGGGUCUGUGUGUCUGAGUUGGGAGUCUCGGUCUUCUUGCGUCUGAUAUGCCAUAGUGUAACUGUCGUGACUUUCUACUGGUCAUGGGAUUCGACGAUAUGAUUUCCUAACUUCUGUUAAACGUGAUAUUGGUUCCUCAAAGUAUUU